UAGUGUUCAGUGUAUUGGGGAUCGUCUAGAUGCAAUAAAUCAAUCCCCAAAUCGAUGCCUGUACUCCACCUCGGCAGGAGGAGUAAGCGGAGUCGACGAGGGAGCCAUAGUGAUAGACUCGCUGCUGUGAGGACAGCCAGGGUCGCACAGCAAAGCCUCCAAGGAACUAUUAUCCAUCCAGGGGGAAACGGCUGGGAUUGAGUAGGACUGGGAUAGGGUGCUCGGUGUUGGGGAGAGGCAGGCCACAGGGAAGCACACUGAUCCCAAAUGGUCCUGUGGAAAUCACCUUUCCCGUGACAUCACCUCCAUGGUGGAGGGGGCCCAAGAAAAGAAGUAACAGAGUCAGACAUAAUAUUCUUUUGCUGCAUUUGGGAUCUUCCACUCCUGAUCCUGACAUAAACCCGCAAAGUGAAGGGCCAUCAGAAGCAAGGAAAAUUUUAAAAAAAUAAAAGGUGUAUAAACCUUUUUGAACUUCAGAAUAGCUUUGGUUCAGUUAGAGUUCUGGUUGGAGGUUUACCUUGGUUCUUAGUUUAUCUGAGCAAAUUUGUCUAACUAAUA